CAGUCGCCGCGGGAAUACAGAGGGUGCGAGCGUUAAUCGGAUUUACUGGGCGUAAAGCGUGCGUAGGCGGCUUCUUAAGUCGGAUGUGAAAUCCCUGAGCUUAACUUAGGAAUUGCAUUCGAUACUGGGAAGCUAGAGUAUGGGAGAGGAUGGUAGAAUUCCAUGUGUAGCGGUGAAAUGCGUAGAGAUCUGGAGGAAUACCGAUGGCGAAGGCAGCCAUCUGGCCUAAUACUGACGCUGAGGUACGAAAGCAUGGGGAGCAAACAGGAUUAGAUACCCCAGUAGUCCCUGUCUCUUAUAC
rnacentral:rRNA from 1 species